rnacentral:lncRNA from 1 species
UUUUUGGGACUAGCUUAAUAACUCAGUGCCAAGUGCUAGUUCUUGUUUUUUCCGUGUUUUUGACCUUUUUCAAAGGAGAAUAUUAAACGGAGUCCAGACGGAAUAAAACCUCUGAAAAGUUUUUUUCCAGAAGAGAAGAUACACAGGGAGCUUGAGAACCAAGACAUAGAUCACCAGUGGAGGCCACAAGCCCCCUAGCCGCGGCCUGGGGGGGGCCGUGCCUAGCAGGCUUGUGGGCCCCCUGUGGCUCCUCUGCCCUACUUCUUCCGCCUAAAAAUACCCGAAAAAUCCAAAACCACAGGAGAGAGC